AAGGAGCUUGCUUCUUCGAUCGAGUGGCGAACGGGUGAGUAACGCGUGAGGAACCUGCCUCAAAGAGGGGGACAACAGUUGGAAACGACUGCUAAUACCGCAUGACACAUUGGGGUCGCAUGGCCUUGAUGUCAAAGAUUUAUCGCUGAAAGAUGGCCUCGCGUCCGAUUAGCUAGUUGGUGAGGUAAUGGCCCACCAAGGCGACGAUCGGUAGCCGGACUGAGAGGUUGAACGGCCACAUUGGGACUGAGACACGGCCCAGACUCC
rnacentral:rRNA from 1 species